rnacentral:rRNA from 1 species
UACGUAGGGGGCAAGCGUUGUCCGGAAUCAUUGGGCGUAAAGCGCGUGUAGGCGGCCCGGUAAGUCCGCUGUGAAAGUCCAGGGCUCAACCCUGGGAUGCCGGUGGAUACUGUCGGGCUCGAGUCCGGAAGAGGAGUGUGGAAUUCCUGGUGUAGCGGUGAAAUGCGCAGAUAUCAGGAGGAACACCAAUGGCGAAGGCGACUACCUGGCCUGUUCUUGACGCUGAGGCGCGAAAGCUAGGGGAGCAAACGGG